rnacentral:rRNA from 1 species
UACGUAGGGUGCAAGCGUUGUCCGGAAUUAUUGGGCGUAAAGAGCUCGUAGGCGGUCUGUCGCGUCUGCUGUGAAAACUCAGGGCUUAACCCUGAGCUUGCAGUGGGUACGGGCAGACUAGAGUGCGGUAGGGGAGACUGGAAUUCCGGGUGGAGCGGUGAAAUGCGUAGAGAUCCGGAGGAACACCGACGGCGCAGGCAGCGUCCUGGCCGCUUGCUGACACUGAGGCACGAAAGCUGGGGGAGCAAACAGG